UUAAGCGACUAAGCGUACACGGUGGAUGCCCUGGCAGUCAGAGGCGAUGAAGGACGUGCUAAUCUGCGAUAAGCGUCGGUGAGGUGAUAUGAACCGUUAUAACCGGCGAUUUCCGAAUGGGGAAACCCAGUGUGUUUCGACACACUAUCAUUAACUGAAUCCAUAGGUUAAUGAGGCGAACCGGGGGAACUGAAACAUCUAAGUACCCCGAGGAAAAGAAAUCAACCGAGAUUCCCCCAGUAGCGGCGAGCGAACGGGGAGGAGCCCAGAGCCUGAAUCAGUGUGUGUGUUAGUGGAAGCGUCUGGAAAGGCGCGCGAUACAGGGUGACAGCCCCGUACACAAAAAUGCACAUAUUGUGAGCUCGAUGAGUAGGGCGGGACACGUGGUAUCCUGUCUGAAUAUGGGGGGACCAUCCUCCAAGGCUAAAUACUCCUGACUGACCGAUAGUGAACCAGUACCGUGAGGGAAAGGCGAAAAGAACCCCGGCGAGGGGAGUGAAAAAGAACCUGAAACCGUGUACGUACAAGCAGUGGGAGCCUCUUAAUGGGGUGACUGCGUACCUUUUGUAUAAUGGGUCAGCGACUUAUAUUCUGUAGCAAGGUUAACCGAAUAGGGGAGCCGAAGGGAAACCGAGUCUUAACUGGGCGUUAAGUUGCAGGGUAUAGACCCGAAACCCGGUGAUCUAGCCAUGGGCAGGUUGAAGGUUGGGUAACACUAACUGGAGGACCGAACCGACUAAUGUUGAAAAAUUAGCGGAUGACUUGUGGCUGGGGGGGAAAGGCCAAUCAAACCGGGAGAUAGCUGGUUCUCCCCGAAAACUAUUUAGGUAGCGCCUCGUGAAUUCAUCUCCGGGGGUAGAGCACUGUUUCGGCAAGGGGGUCAUCCCGACUUACCAACCCGAUGCAAACUGCGAAUACCGGAGAAUGUUAUCACGGGAGACACACGGCGGGUGCUAACGUCCGUCGUGAAGAGGGAAACAACCCAGACCGCCAGCUAAGGUCCCAAAGUCAUGGUUAAGUGGGAAACGAUGUGGGAAGGCCCAGACAGCCAGGAUGUUGGCUUAGAAGCAGCCAUCAUUUAAAGAAAGCGUAAUAGCUCACUGGUCGAGUCGGCCUGCGCGGAAGAUGUAACGGGGCUAAACCAUGCACCGAAGCUGCGGCAGCGACACUAUGUGUUGUUGGGUAGGGGAGCGUUCUGUAAGCCUGUGAAGGUGUGCUGUGAGGCAUGCUGGAGGUAUCAGAAGUGCGAAUGCUGACAUAAGUAACGAUAAAGCGGGUGAAAAGCCCGCUCGCCGGAAGACCAAGGGUUCCUGUCCAACGUUAAUCGGGGCAGGGUGAGUCGACCCCUAAGGCGAGGCCGAAAGGCGUAGUCGAUGGGAAACAGGUUAAUAUUCCUGUACUUGGUGUUACUGCGAAGGGGGGACGGAGAAGGCUAUGUUGGCCGGGCGACGGUUGUCCCGGUUUAAGCGUGUAGGCUGGUUUUCCAGGCAAAUCCGGAAAACCAAGGCUGAGGCGUGAUGACGAGGCACUACGGUGCUGAAGCGACAAAUGCCCUGCUUCCAGGAAAAGCCUCUAAGCAUCAGGUAACAUCAAAUCGUACCCCAAACCGACACAGGUGGUCAGGUAGAGAAUACCAAGGCGCUUGAGAGAACUCGGGUGAAGGAACUAGGCAAAAUGGUGCCGUAACUUCGGGAGAAGGCACGCUGAUAUGUAGGUGAAGCGACUUGCUCGUGGAGCUGAAAUCAGUCGAAGAUACCAGCUGGCUGCAACUGUUUAUUAAAAACACAGCACUGUGCAAACACGAAAGUGGACGUAUACGGUGUGACGCCUGCCCGGUGCCGGAAGGUUAAUUGAUGGGGUUAGCGGUAACGCGAAGCUCUUGAUCGAAGCCCCGGUAAACGGCGGCCGUAACUAUAACGGUCCUAAGGUAGCGAAAUUCCUUGUCGGGUAAGUUCCGACCUGCACGAAUGGCGUAAUGAUGGCCAGGCUGUCUCCACCCGAGACUCAGUGAAAUUGAACUCGCUGUGAAGAUGCAGUGUACCCGCGGCAAGACGGAAAGACCCCGUGAACCUUUACUAUAGCUUGACACUGAACAUUGAGCCUUGAUGUGUAGGAUAGGUGGGAGGCUUUGAAGUGUGGACGCCAGUCUGCAUGGAGCCGACCUUGAAAUACCACCCUUUAAUGUUUGAUGUUCUAACGUUGGCCCGUAAUCCGGGUUGCGGACAGUGUCUGGUGGGUAGUUUGACUGGGGCGGUCUCCUCCUAAAGAGUAACGGAGGAGCACGAAGGUUGGCUAAUCCUGGUCGGACAUCAGGAGGUUAGUGCAAUGGCAUAAGCCAGCUUGACUGCGAGCGUGACGGCGCGAGCAGGUGCGAAAGCAGGUCAUAGUGAUCCGGUGGUUCUGAAUGGAAGGGCCAUCGCUCAACGGAUAAAAGGUACUCCGGGGAUAACAGGCUGAUACCGCCCAAGAGUUCAUAUCGACGGCGGUGUUUGGCACCUCGAUGUCGGCUCAUCACAUCCUGGGGCUGAAGUAGGUCCCAAGGGUAUGGCUGUUCGCCAUUUAAAGUGGUACGCGAGCUGGGUUUAGAACGUCGUGAGACAGUUCGGUCCCUAUCUGCCGUGGGCGCUGGAGAACUGAGGGGGGCUGCUCCUAGUACGAGAGGACCGGAGUGGACGCAUCACUGGUGUUCGGGUUGUCAUGCCAAUGGCACUGCCCGGUAGCUAAAUGCGGAAGAGAUAAGUGCUGAAAGCAUCUAAGCACGAAACUUGCCCCGAGAUGAGUUCUCCCUGAGACUUAGAGUCUCCUGAAGGAACGUUGAAGACGACGACGUUGAUAGGCCGGGUGUGUAAGCGCAGCGAUGCGUUGAGCUAACCGGUACUAAUGAACCGUGAGGCUUAACCUU
rnacentral:rRNA from 1 species